GUUACAAAUAGGCUCCUCAAGGGUGAUCGGCUCAUCCCCUAUCGAAAGGGGGUGAGAGAAUGUCGACACAUGAAAUGAUUUCGCUCAUGCUCCAGUUUGGGUUGUUCCUCGUAGCAGCUUUGACUUUGGUAGUGACAAUCAUGAAACACAUGUUAGACAAUCAAAACAAAAAGAAAUAGAUCGCCCUCUGAGUUGGCGCUCAGGCGAUCUAUUCUUUGAAUCCCAUAUGAGCCGACACCCUUCGGGGUAUCAGUUGUGUAAACCGACCGUAGGUGUUGACAGCAUCUAUG
rnacentral:sRNA from 1 species